UACAGAGGGUGCGAGCGUUGUCCGGAAUCACUGGGCGUAAAGGGCGCGUAGGUGGUGGCUUAAGCGUGCGGUGAAAGCUCGGGGCUCAACCCCGAGUCGGCCGUGCGAACUGGGCUCACUGGAGCAUAGUAGAGGCAGGUGGAAUUCCGGGUGGUAGCGGUGGAAUGCGUAGAGAUCGGAAGAACACCGGUGGCGAAGGCGGCCUGCUGGGCUAUGGCUGACACUGAGGCGCGACAGCGUGGGGAGCAAACAGG
rnacentral:rRNA from 1 species